rnacentral:misc_RNA from 1 species
GAUGAAGAACGUAGCGAAAUGCGAUAAGUAAUGUGAAUUGCAGAAUUCAGUGAAUCAUCGAAUCUUUGAACGCACAUUGCGCCCGCCAGUAUUCUGGCGGGCAUGCCUGUUCGAGCGUCAUUUCAACCAUCAAGCCCCCGGCUUGUGUUGGGGACCUGCGGCUGCCGCAGGCCCUGAAAACCAGUGGCGGGCUCGCUAGUCACUCCGAGCGUAGUAGUUACAUCUCGCUCAGGGCGUCCGGCGUGGGCUUGCCUCGCACCCAUCUUUUACAAGGUUGACCUCGGAUCAGGUAGGAAUACCCGCUGAACUUAAGCAUAUCAAUAAGCGGAGGA